AACAUGCAGUCGAACGGCAGCACGGGAGCAAUCCUGGUGGCGAGUGGCGAACGGGUGAGUAAUACAUCGGAACGUGUCCUGUAGUGGGGGAUAGCCCGGCGAAAGCCGGAUUAAUACCGCAUACGCUCUACGGAGGAAAGGGGGGGAUCUUAGGACCUCUCGCUACAGGGGCGGCCGAUGGCAGAUUAGCUAGUUGGUGGGGUAAAGGCCUACCAAGGCGACGAUCUGUAGCUGGUCUGAGAGGACGACCAGCCACACUGGGACUGAGACACGGCCCAGACUCCUACGGGAGGCAGCAGUGGGGAAUUUUGGACAAUGGGCGCAAGCCUGAUCCAGCAAUGCCGCGUGUGUGAAGAAGGCCUUCGGGUUGUAAAGCACUUUUGUCCGGAAAGAAAACCUCUGGGUUAAUACCCCGGGGGGAUGACGGUACCGGAAGAAUAAGCACCGGCUAACUACGUGCCAGCAGCCGCGGUAAUACGUAGGGUGCAAGCGUUAAUCGGAAUUACUGGGCGUAAAGCGUGCGCAGGCGGUCCGCUAAGACAGAUGUGAAAUCCCCGGGCUUAACCUGGGAACUGCAUUUGUGACUGGCGGGCUAGAGUAUGGCAGAGGGGGGUAGAAUUCCACGUGUAGCAGUGAAAUGCGUAGAGAUGUGGAGGAAUACCGAUGGCGAAGGCAGCCCCCUGGGCCAAUACUGACGCUCAUGCACGAAAGCGUGGGGAGCAAACAGGAUUAGAUACCCUGGUAGUCCACGCCCUAAACGAUGUCAACUAGUUGUUGGGGAUUCAUUUCCUUAGUAACGUAGCUAACGCGUGAAGUUGACCGCCUGGGGAGUACGGUCGCAAGAUAAA
rnacentral:rRNA from 1 species